AACGGGAAUCUUAGGAUUCUAGUGGCGGACGGGUGAGUAACACGUAAGAACCUGCCUCUUGGACGGGGACAACAGUUGGAAACGGCUGCUAAUCCCGGAUGAGCCGAAAGGUAAAAGAUUUAUCGCCAAGAGAGGGGCUUGCGUCUGAUUAGCUAGUUGGUGUGGUAAGAGCGCACCAAGGCGACGAUCAGUAGCUGGUCUGAGAGGAUGAUCAGCCACACUGGGACUGAGACACGGCCCAGACUCCUACGGGAGGCAGCAGUGGGGAAUUUUCCGCAAUGGGCGAAAGCCUGACGGAGCAAGACCGCGUGGGGGAGGAAGGUUCUUGGAUUGUCAACCCCUUUUCUCAGGGAAGAAGAAAGUGACGGUACUUGAGGAAUAAGCAUCGGCUAACUCUGCGCCAGCAGCCGCGGUAAUACAGAGGAUGCAAGCGUUAUCCGGAAUGAUUGGGCGUAAAGCGUCCGCAGGUGGUUUUGUAAGUCUGCUGUUAAAGCGUGUGGCUCAACCACAUACAGGCAGUGGAAACUAUGAGACUAGAGUAUGUUAGGGGUAGAGGGAAUUCCCAGUGUAGCGGUGAAAUGCGUAGAGAUUGGGAAGAACACCGGUGGCGAAAGCGCUCUGCUAGGACAAUACUGACACUGAGGGACGAAAGCUAGGGGAGCGAAUGGGAUUAGAUACCCCAGUAGUCCUAGCCGUAAACGAUGGAUACUAGGCGUUGCCCGUAUCGACCCGGGCAUUGUCGUAGCUAACGCGUUAAGUAUCCCGCCUGGGGAGUACGCACGCAAGUGUGAAACUCAAAGG
rnacentral:rRNA from 1 species